rnacentral:lncRNA from 1 species
ACAAAAGACACUCCACCCCAAACAACAUAAUUAACAAGAAAAAGAAAAGAAAGAAGAAAUAUCUUGCUUAAUGGAAUGAGGAAAUGGCCACAGCUGUGACAGUAACCGUGAUGACUAUUUGCCAAGCUGAGUGACGAUGGAUGGACGAAGACCAUUAGGAGAAGCUGUAUCUUCAGCUCUUAAGCAAUGUAGCUGCAAUCAAAGCUUUGACCAAUGGCCAUUUUCUUGGAAAGGCAAAAUGUAGGAGCAUGAGCUGAUCUGGGGGAGAGACCAUCCAACGACUCAAUUCUGUGGAGCCCCCGUUUCAGCCACAAAACAUCAGGAAGACAGGGAGGGGGGACAUCCAAACAUACAGAUAGAUGGACAGACAGCUUUCAGAUCCAAUUAGACUUCCUGGUUUUAUGUCAUACUGGACGUGCCUACAUGUAGCAAGAAAACACAGCCCUAGCCUUACUGGAAACAAGAAGUACUUAAAGGUUCAUGAAAAUGUGAGUCUUAUUGUGAAAUUUCUAAUGCUGUUGCACAAAUUUAACAGUUUCUCAUCCAAACUUCCCCCUGUUGUUUCAUGUAGUCUACCUGGGAAAACCAGGCCCAGGCAUGCUUUUUAUUUAACUUAAUGACAAGAAGUUAAGAGGGAAUGGGCAUUAGAAGAAGCUUGGAAUAAACCCCAAGGGUAACUGAAAACAUCUCAGUGUCCAGCCACAUUUUUCUCUGUCCUACUCAUACCUCCCAGGAUGAGGCUGCUGUUCUGAGAACAACCAUAUAGUUCAUAUAACUUAUUUCUGAGAUGUUCAAUAAAUGACAAUAUCUAUUUAAGUGAACACAUAUAUAUUAGAGGGUCGACUCUUUCCCUUGGACCAUACAUAUUAUUUACCUGAUAAGAUUCAGAAGUAAUCAUGAUUACCACAGUCUCUAAUUUGGUAGCAAAUAGACUUUCCUUGAACUCUGAGCAUAGGUAUCUAUGUACCAAAAUAAAAAUUAACUUGUUAACAUCCUAGAUUACCAGCGGAGAAGAUAGCAUAAAGGAAAGAGAAAGUACCAUUUCCUAGGAGUCAACCAUUUUCAAUUUAAAACAAAAUACACUUAAUCCUUGAAGAACACCAGUCUGAAUUCUGCAGGUCCACUUACACAUGGGUUUAAAAAUUUUUUCGAUAAACAUAGCAUAGUACUGUAAAUGUAUUUUCUCCUUUAGAUUUCCUAAUGACAUUUCCUUUUCUCUAGUUUACUUUACUGCAAGAAUAUGGUAUAUAAUACAUAUAACAUACAAAAUAUGUGCUCCUCAAGUACACUCUCGGUAAGGGUGUAGGUCAAUGGGAGGAUAUUAGUAGCUAAGUUUUAGGGGAGUCAAAAGCUGUACACAAUUGUUUUUAUUGUUUUGGAGGAGUUCAACUCACCCCUGUGCUUUUCAAGUGUCAACUGUGAUCACUUUUUACCUUUUUACUCAGCCCCAAUCACAUAUUUCAUAUCCUCUGAAAUCUCAAGCUUUAAUGCCUAAAAUCCUUAAUAGUUAACAGAAAAAGACAUUAGCUGCAUCUACACAUUUACAACCAGACUGAGUGCGUUAGACUUUUGUAAUAAGUCACAUACAGUUAAAAAAAAAUGUGUCUUUAAGUUGAUAGGACAAUAUACAUGGGAUUUUCCCUUCAGGGAUGAGUUGUGUAGACACACUGUUAUUAUAUAACUCUACAUCUUCCAAGUCACUCUUCUUCCUUAGAAAGCAUCAGUACCUCCAGUUUAUCUGCUGCUUGUGGCCUCUUUUACCAUUAAAAGCAUAGAGACUAGCUUCCAAGAAGAGUAAUAGGACAGAGCUGCAAUGCAGGUAUCUAUUCUGGCUGUCUUGCAUUGCCUCUUACAAAACAACUAUAUUUAGGGAAUGAUUUCAGCAGUUUUAGACUCUAAGUUUGGUGGAUAAAUACAAUUUAAAUGUCCUCACAAUUCUUCAUAUCAGCAAAAAGAGAACACAGAUCUGAGUUAUGCUAUAAUUAAAAUAACAAAAACAAUGUAUCUAUGUGUGUG